rnacentral:rRNA from 1 species
GCUAAUAUCCCAUAACACUGCGAGAUGGCAUCAUUUUGCAGUUAAAACUCCGGUGGUUAUAGAUGGGCAUGCGCGACAUUAGCUAGUUGGUGAGGUAACGGCCCACCAAGGCUACGAUGUCUAGGGGUUCUGAGAGGAUUAUCCCCCACACUGGUACUGAGACACGGACCAGACUCCUACGGGAGGCAGCAGUAAGGAAUAUUGGUCAAUGGGCGCAAGCCUGAACCAGCCAUGCCGCGUGAAGGAUGACGGCCCUAUGGGUUGUAAACUUCUUUUGUACGGGAAAAAACCACCGGUCGUGUAUCGGUGCUGAUGGUACCGUAAGAAUAAGCAUCGGCUAACUCCGUGCCAGCAGCCGCGGUAAUACGGAGGAUGCAAGCGUUAUCCGGAUUCAUUGGGUUUAAAGGGUGCGCAGGCGGAAUAAUAAGUCAACGGUGAAAGCCUACAGCUUAACUGUAGAACUGCCAUUGAUACUG